rnacentral:rRNA from 1 species
GACGAACGCUGGCGGCGUGCCUAACACAUGCAAGUCGAGCGAAUGAAGUUCCUUCGGGACUGGAUUUAGCGGCGGACGGGUGAGUAACACGUGGGCAACCUGCCUCAUAGAGGGGAAUAGCCUUCCGAAAGGGAGAUUAAUACCGCAUAAGAUUGUAGUAUCGCAUGAUACAGCAAUUAAAGGAGCAAUCCGCUAUGAGAUGGGCCCGCGGCGCAUUAGCUAGUUGGUGAGGUAACGGCUCACCAAGGCGACGAUGCGUAGCCGACCUGAGAGGGUGAUCGGCCACAUUGGGACUGAGACACGGCCCAGACUCCUACGGGAGGCAGCAGUGGGGAAUAUUGCACAAUGGGGGAAACCCUGAUGCUGCAACGCCGCGUGAGUGAUGACGGCCUUCGGGUUGUAAAGCUCUGUCUUCAGGGACGAUAAUGACGGUACCUGAGGAGGAAGCCACGGCUAACUACAUG